rnacentral:rRNA from 1 species
AACGAACGCUGGCGGCAUGCCUAACACAUGCAAGUCGAACGAGACCUUCGGGUCUGGUGGCGCACGGGUGCGUGAAGGGGGGGAACAUGCGCUGAGGAUCGGCCUAACUCUUCGGAAGGGGUGCUAGUACCGGGUAAUGUUUUCGGACCGGAGAUUUAUCGCCUGUGGAUGGGGCCGCGUUGGAUUGGCGAGGUGGGAGGGUAAAAGCCUACCAAGGCGACGAUCCAUAGCUGGUCGGAGAGGAUGAUCAGCCACACUGGGACUGGGACCCGGCCCCGACUCCUGCGGGAGGCGGCAGAUGGUAAUCUUGGACAAUGGGCGAGAGCCUGAUCCAGCGAUGCCGGGUGAGUGAUGAAGGCCUUAGGGUUGUAAAGCGCUUUUAACCGGGAUGAUAAUGACAGUACCGGGAGAAUAAGCUCCGGCUAACUCCGUG